rnacentral:tRNA from 1 species
GUGGUUGUGGCUCAGGGGUAGAGAGCUCGCCUGGCACGUGCGAGGCCCUGGGUUGGAUCCUCAGCACCACA